rnacentral:rRNA from 1 species
UACGGGGGGGGGCAAGCGUUGUUCGGAAUUACUGGGCGUAAAGGGCUCGUAGGUGGCCAACUAAGUCAGACGUGAAAUCCCUCAGCUUAACUGGGGAACUGCGUCUGAUACUGGAUGGCUUGAGUUUGGGGAGAGGGAUGCGGAAUUCCAGGUGUAGAGGUGAAAUUCGUAGAUAUUGGGAAGAACACCGGUGGCGAAGGCGGCGAGCUGGCCUGUUACUGACGCUGAGGCGCGACAGCGUGGGGGAGCAAACAGG